GAUGAAGAACGCAGCGAAAUGCGAUAAGUAAUGUGAAUUGCAGAAUUCAGUGAAUCAUCGAAUCUUUGAACGCACAUUGCGCCCGCCAGUAUUCUGGCGGGCAUGCCUGUUCGAGCGUCAUUUCAACCAUCAAGCCCCAGGCUUGUGUUGGAGCCCUGCGGCUGCCGCAGCCUCCCAAAACCAGUGGCGGGCUCGCUAUCACACCGAGUGCAGUAGUUUACUCUUCGCUCAGGGCGUGUGGCGGGUGCUAGCCGUAAAACCCCCAACUUCUCAAUGUUGACCUCGGAUCAGGUAGGAAUACCCGCUGAACUUAAGCAUAUCAAUAAGCGGAGGA
rnacentral:misc_RNA from 1 species